rnacentral:rRNA from 1 species
AUGGCGGUGCACUGGUGCCCAGAUCCAUGGGUGUGGGACUCCCGGCAGCGUGCGGGCUCCCGGCGACGGCGAGAUCGGUCGACGGCGGGCUUGGGCGAUGGCAUCGGCCGCGCGGUGCCGGAUCUCGUUGCUCGCGGUGGAUCUCGCCACUCUGGCCUUCGUGGAGGAACCUGGAUCAGGGGCGACGGCCCCGUUAGGCAUGGCGACGGCGCCCUCGGCUGGCGACGUUCGCGGGGGGUGGAUGAACGGCGUCUUGACCGCGUGGGCGAGAGGAAGCUUUGGUAUACGGGGGGUGGUUGGCUGGAGGUCACCCUGUACUCAGAAAAUGAGGAGAUGCGCGCCAAGGUGCUGCUAUUGUUAUGGCGCUGCUGGCAAACCUUCAAUGAGGAGGAAGCACAAGUGAUCCUACAAAUCCCUCUUUUUGAACACCAUGAGGACUUUGUUGCUUGGCAAUUCGAUAAUAAAGGGAUGUUCUCUGUCAGGUUGGCCUACAGGAUCCAUGUGGAACUACAACAGCGUCAAAGUCCACGGCAACGAGGAGAGAAUUCUGAUGGGAUAGAGGAGGAUCAGAGGGUGUGGCGACAGCUCUGGAAGAUCAGGUGCCCAGGGAAGGUCCAUCACUUUUUGUGGCGGUUCGCGCAAAAUAGCCACCCAAUGCUGAGAAACGUAGAACGGAUUGGGGUGGAACUGGAUACGACCUGUGUUGUGUGCCAUAGAUUGCAUGAAGAUGGAACAAGGCAAAUCACAACCAGACCAGGGCCACAGUGCAAGAAUUCUGCUUCCUCCUGGCAAAAAAACAUCUCUGAAUGGAAGGAGUUCUGUGCUUCACCAGCGAAGGGAUCAUUGCGGGAAGGGCCAUGGUGGACCAAACCUGCGGUCGACCUCAUAAAGGUAAACAUUGACGGAGCUUUUGAUCAGACUUCGAAACAAGCGGGGUGGGGAUGCGUUGGACGGGAUCAUACGUCGGGUGAUGUCCUCCUUGCUGCAGCCGGCAGCCUAGCAAACAUCAGUGAGCCUUUACAUGCUGAAGCGGCUGGACUUUUAAAUGCAGUUACAUUAAUAGAGAGCCAUGGAAUGGGACGGGUGAUCUUUGAAACGGACUGUUUAGGUCUUCAGCAAGCUGUUACUACUAUCAUGCUGGACCGAUCUUCACUUGGUACCUUAUUCCGAGAGAUCAAGUAUCGCCUGCAGCUUGCGUUCGUUGGCUGGGUAACCUUCCAAACUUUGUAA